rnacentral:rRNA from 1 species
AUUGAACGCUGGCGGCAUGCCUUACACAUGCAAGUCGAACGGCAGCACGGGGCAACCUGGUGGCGAGUGGCGAACGGGUGAGUAAUGCAUCGGAACGUACCCGGAAGUGGGGGAUAACGUAGCGAAAGUUACGCUAAUACCGCAUAUUCUGUGCGCAGGAAAGAGGGGGAUCUUCGGACCUCUUGCUUUCGGAGCGGCCGAGGUCAGAUUAGCUAGUUGGUGAGGUAAAGGCUCACCAAGGCGACGAUCUGUAGCGGGUCUGAGAGGAUGAUCCGCCAGACUGGGACUGGGACACGGCCCCGACUCCUACGGGAGGCAGCAGGGGGGAAUUUUGGACAAUGGGCGCAAGCCUGAUGCAGCCAUUCCGCGUGCAGGAUGAAGGCCUUCGGGUUGUAAACUGCUUUUGUACGGAACGAAAAGGCUCUGGUUAAUACCCGGGGCUCAUGACGGUACCGUAAGAAUAAGCACCGGCUAACUACGUGCCAGCAGCCGCCGUAAGAC